GGUCUUCUAUCAGCGAUUCGUCAGAUUCCAAUUCAAACUGAGUAGUCGGAUGGUCGACUGUAAAGAGUUUGAAGUGGGAUUUGGCGAAUUGAGGGUCAAGAUU
rnacentral:pre_miRNA from 1 species